AUGUGCACAUUGCUUUUCUCUGUUACUGUCUCACUGCUCUGUGCUGCAGGUCUUGUUGAGGGGAGUGAAGUCACUCAGACACCCACCAUACUCUGGGAACUCAAAGAAAGUGAUGCUCAGAUGAACUGCAGUCACACUAAGGGAUCUAGCUACUACCAGAUGUACUGGUACAGACAGCUUCCAGGAGAGGGAAUGAAGCAGGUAGUUUACACAAGUACUUAUAACAUACCAGACUAUGGAGCCUUCAGUGAAGACAAAUAUGCAAAAGUUAAAACUACAGCUAAGAGUGGAUCUUUCACAGUGAAGAAGUUGGAGACAGGAGACAGUGGAAUGUACUUCUGUGCUGUGAGUCCGUACUCGGAGGCAUACUUUGGAGCCGGCACCAAACUCACCGUUUUAGAUCCCAACAUCAAAGUCACUGAACCCACAGUGAAAGUCCUAGCACCCUCCGCUAGGGAGUGUGAAGAUAGAAACAAGAAGAAGAAGAAGACCCUAGUGUGUGUAGCCACCCGCUUCUACCCCGACCACGUCACGGUCUUCUGGCAAGUCAACAAUGUCAACAGAACUGAAGGUGCCGGGACCGACAACAGGGCCUUGUGGGAUAAUGAUGGUUUAUACAGUAUCACCAGCAGACUGAGAGUCCCAGCCAAUGAAUGGCACAAACCAGAGAACAGAUUCACCUGCAUUGUCAGCUUUUACAAUGGGACUGGAAAUAUAGAAGUGAAUGACACCAUUAGUGGAGAUCUCCAAGGUCAAAGUGGGGGAGAGAUAACGACAGAUUACUAUGUGAAGAGCACCCAGACUGCCAAGCUGGCCUACAGCAUCUUCAUCGCUAAGAGUACCUUCUAUGGCCUGGUCGUCAUGGUUAUGAUUUGGAAGUUCCAGGUGAGUUCGCUGCAAAUAUGAUAAAGGUUCAUCACACAGCCUUCUCUCUCCUCUUCUAUCUCUGCCUUGUGCUCAAGGAGUCC